UAACGCGUGAGGAACCUGCCUUCCAGAGGGGGACAACAGUUGGAAACGACUGCUAAUACCGCAUGAUGUGUUUCGAUGGCAUCAUCGAGACACCAAAGAUUUAUCGCUGGAAGAUGGCCUCGCGUCUGAUUAGCUAGUAGGCGGGGUAACGGCCCACCUAGGCGACGAUCAGUAGCCGGACUGAGAGGUUGGCCGGCCACAUUGGGACUGAGACACGGCCCAGACUCCUACGGGAGGCAGCAG
rnacentral:rRNA from 1 species